rnacentral:lncRNA from 1 species
GUUAAUUCUUGGUAUUGUUCUUCUGAAACUUUGAGUCUUCACUCCUUUAUAUAGAGGUGUGAAAGAGACGUUGAAUUGUCAGCACAUUCAAAAUAGAGUCGUUUGAAGCUUUUGAUCAAUCACCAAUGAUCCUUUGCCUGAUAUGGUUAUUGUCCUAAGAAGGAUCAAUUUCAAAUGCAUUCCCAUUGAGAAGGAACAUU